rnacentral:rRNA from 1 species
AGGGGCAGCGGGGAGGUAGCAAUACCUUUGCCGGCGACCGGCGCACGGGUGAGUAACACGUAUGCAAUCCACCUGUAACAGGGGGAUAACCCGGAGAAAUCCGGACUAAUACCCCAUGAUAUGGGCUCUCCGCAUGGAGGGUCCAUUAAAGAGAGCAAUCUUGGUUACAGACGAGCAUGCGCUCCAUUAGCCAGUUGGCGGGGUAACGGCCCACCAAGACUACGAUGGAUAGGGGUUCUGAGAGGAAGGUCCCCACCAUUGGAACUGAGACACGGUCCAAACUCC